CUCCUUCAAUUAUUUGUCCCCAGGGCCUAUAUUGUGCCUGUCCGGCUUGUCCGGACUAUGGCGAUAAACGGCCACGUAAUAAGCGGACCGGACCCGGGGGCGGUACCCGGCGCCUCCACCAGAAUACGGAGGACAGAACACAGGUAUCGGAGGCUUGGCAUUUUUCUGAUCCCUGUAUUCUGUAUUCCGUCCUCCGGCGGGGGCGAAACAGGAUCGACGGACGUGUAAAGGUGGUUCUUUCACCCGGUAUGGUAUCCGCCGUUAUCGGGCUGUUCGUAUAGGUGCCAACGACAAUGAAAUGGCCCUCGCUGCUUAAUUAAAACCUAAGCAAGCGCGGCUCGAGGGGCGCCGGGCAACAGAAGCCCCUCACC
rnacentral:tmRNA from 1 species